rnacentral:rRNA from 1 species
GACGAACGCUGGCGGCGUGCCUAAUACAUGCAAGUAGGACGCACAGUUUAUACCGUAGCUUGCUACACCAUAGACUGUGAGUUGCGAACGGGUGAGUAACGCGUAGGUAACCUGCCUAUUAGAGGGGGAUAACUAUUGGAAACGAUAGCUAAUACCGCAUAACAGUAUGUAACACAUGUUAGAUGCUUGAAAGAUGCAAUUGCAUCGCUAGUAGAUGGACCUGCGUUGUAUUAGCUAGUAGGUAGGGUAAUGGCCUACCUAGGCGACGAUACAUAGCCGACCUGAGAGGGUGAUCGGCCACACUGGGACUGAGACACGGCCCAGACUCCUACGGGAGGCAGCAGUAGGGAAUCUUCGGCAAUGGGGGGAACCCUGACCGAGCAGCGCCGCGUGAGUGAAGAAGGUUUUCGGAUCGUAAAGCUCUGUUGUUAAGGAAGAACGAGUGUGAGAAUGGAAAGUUCAUACUGGACG